GACGGGUUUGCUACCGUGGGGCUGGGUGAUCCGGAUGCUGCUAUCGAUGUGUUAUCCCUAGCAUCAAGAGAUGGUUCUUCUAGAACAUGUAAGUACUCAUUUACAAUGAGCAUUUUAUUAAUUUGUAUCAAGUGAGAUAGUGGCUGAAUACAUUCUAUUAUCUAGUAAAUUCUAGGCAUGCAUUUUCUAGAUUUGUUGUUUUAUCCUUUUUUCCCUCCUCUUCAAAAGUCUGUGUGUGUGUGUGUGUGUGUGUGUGUGUGCAUGCAUGUUCAUGUGUUGGUUCUGGACUACACCUUGUUUGAGACACACUGGGCCACAGACUUCUGAGGCUCUUCAUGCCUCCACCUUCUGUCUUCAGCAGGAGCGAUGAGGUUAGAGAUACACUCGACAUGGGUUUUGGGGGCUCUGGACUCAGUUCUCUACACUUGCAAGCUUCCCAGCCCACCCCCUCUUCCUGCAGGCAGUAUGCAGAUGUAGCUCAGGUUGGUCUGGAACGUGGGUUCCUCUUGCCCCAGACUCCUCAGUGCUAGGAUCACUGGCAAGAUUUGUUCCCUGUUUAGUCGACUACAGCCCUCUUCUCCCACUGCAGAAAAAAAAUCUGCAUCAGGUGUCCACAGUCUUUCAGCCCCUACGAUGUUUCCAAUCUUAUUGUCUGCUCACCCUUGGCUGUCCCCCUCCAGCAGCCGGCGGUAGGUCUCAAUCUCCAUCUCCAGGCGAGCCUUGACGCCCAGCAGCCGCUGGUGGUCCGCAUUCUGGCGCUCCGCGUCAGCCCGCACCUGUUGGAGUUGCUCCUCCAGGCUGCCGAUCAGCUGCUGCACCUGAGACAGUUGGCAGCAGUACCCACCCUCGGUUUCAGCCAGCGAGCCUUCCAGGGACGACUUCUGCAAAUGGGAGAUAGACAGAAUUGUCUGGGGAUCAGAGAACAAGAUGGGCAGCCCAUGGUCCAGCAUACGGUGGGUGCAACAUCUUUUUUUUUGGAAGUUAAAGGAUGCAUCAUCUCUCUCUGCAUGUCACGCUACCAUGGCGAGCUGGGACUGGAGUUCAAUCUCUAGGUUCUGCACCAUGCGCUUCAGGUCGGUGACCUCGCUCUUGCUGGACUGAAGCUGCUCCGUGUUGCUGCUGAUCUCUUUUCGGAGCUCUCUGCUCUGCAACAGCAAAGUAGGUGGAUGGGGUGAGCUCUGCGCUGGCUCAAAGGGCUUUCUGGGAAUGCAUCAAAUCUCGCGGUGUUACCUUUUCAAGAAACCAGGCCUCUGCAUCUUUCCGAUUUUGCUCAGCCAUGGCUUCAUACUGGGCUCUCAUUUCAUUGAGGACCUUGGUGAGAUCCACUCCAGGGGCCGCGUCCAUUUCUACAUUGACCUCACCUGGACCACCUGCCUGGAAACUUUGGAGUUCCUAGAGACAGCAAUGGAGAGAGAAAGACACAGGAGUACAUGUGGCUAGUGAGUCCCCCAGGUACGUUUGCCUUCUUGGGUCUCUUCAUGCAUGAUAAUAAUAAAAAAUAUAUUUUUGAGUGAGUUGGUAUAAAGGCAAAAUAUUAGCGCAAGGCAUCCACACAUUUUUCUUUAAGCUUGAAAACCUGUUUCUCUCAUAAUUAAAAAAAACUAAAACCAAAAACCAAGAUAUUUUCUCAGGUUUCUUGAGUGAUCAGGGGCUCCACGUUCUGUGCCUGUGGUUGCUGGCUCUGCUUCUAGAACAUCCACUUCCUAUAGUUUACAGAAAGGAAAGAGACCUGGUGUGCAGAUUGCUGCUACAGAGCUAGUGCCACAAGUGGCACCUGGGGUCAUACACUAUUUCACACCAUAGUCAUUGAGAACCCAACAGAAAGUUUCUUAGAAGCCCAUUGCCAGUGGUCGUUCUUCCUGUCCAUGCCCCGGCCUCUGAUACACACAUCAGAUCUCCAUAUGUCUUAUAUUGGUUACACUUCUCUAACAUAUGUGGCUGGUAUAUGUGUCAGCUGUAGACUUUUGUUUUCAUUUUUGAAACACUCCGUAUUUAAAGAAAACAUUUGACGAAGGUAAUUAAAAUUCCUGCCAUUACUUAAUGAUGGAAAUAGUAAAACCAGAAUAUUCCCCGCUAUCCCAAGUCUAAUACUCGAAUCCAUUAAGCCUUAAUAAAAAAUACCAUGACACAUACACAAGAGGGUGAGGUGGGGUGGGGGUGGGGGGCACACAUAGAGGAACACCAAAA
rnacentral:lncRNA from 1 species